GGUGGGUGGGUGUAAGUGCACCAAGGCGCGCGAGAGAGACCUUUCUAAGGAACUCGGCACAUUAGCCCCGUAACUUCGGGAAAAGGGGUGCUCGCUUCGGCGAGCCACAGUAAAUUGCGUUUAGCGACUGUUUAAUAAAAACACAGCACUCUGCCACGUCGUUAAGACAACGUAUAGGGUGUGACAAGUGACCAAUGCGGAAAGAUCAAGGCAAGGGGUUAGCCGCAAGGCGAAGCUCUGAACCUAAGUCCCCGUGAAUGUCGGCCGUAACUAUAACGGUCCUAAGGUAGCGAAAUUCCUUGUCGGGUAAGUUCCGACCUGCACGAAUCUUGUAACGACUGAACGACUGUCUCGGAGAGGUUCUCGGCGAAACUGUAACGGCGGUGAAGAUGCCGCCUGCCCGCAGUAGGACGGAAAGACCCUAUGCACCUUUACUGUAAGCUCGUAUUGGCUUCUGGUUGAUGAUGCUUAGCGUAGGUGGGAGACUUUGAAGGCAUGGCUUCGGUUGUGCUGGAGUCGAAAUGUGAAACACCACUCUUUGUCAACUAGGAGUCUAACCUCGAUCCCGUUAGCCGGGCGAGGGACAGUGCGUGCGGGUCAGUUUGGCUGGGGCGGCUUCCUCCCAAAUGGUAACGGAGGAGCGCGAAGCUGGGCUCAGCAUGGUUGGCAACCAUGCGUCGAGCGUAUGGGUAGAAGCCCGGUUAACUGCGAGACCAACAAGUCAAGCAGAUGCGAAAGCAGGCCCAAAUGAUCCGAUGGUUGAAUGUGGAAUUGCCAUCGCUCAACGGACAAAAGGUACGCUAGGGAUAACAGGCUGAUCGGGACCAAGAGUUCACAUCGACGUCCCGGUUUGGCACCUCGAUGUCGGCUCAUCGCAUCCUGGGGCUGGAGAAGGUCCCAAGGGUCCGGCUGUUCGCCGGUUAAAGCGGUACGCGAGCUGGGUUCAGAACGUCGUGAGACAGUUCGGUCCUUAUCCACUGUGGGCGGAGGAAACUUGAGGGGUUCAUUCCUUAGUACGAGAGGACCGGGAAUGACGCACUUCUGGUGUGGCAGUUGUCGUGUCAACGGCAGCGCUGCGUAGCCACGUGCGGAAGGGAUAAGCGCUGAAAGCAUCUAAGUGCCAAGCCCAUCCCAAGAUAUGGUUUCCCGGACGCAAGUCCCUGAAGACACCAAGCAGACUACUUGGUUGAUAGGCUGGGCGUGCAAGCUCCGUGAGGAGUUUAGCGGACCAGUACUAAUCCGUCGUGAGGCUUGAUUGC
rnacentral:rRNA from 1 species